UACAGAGGUCUCAAGCGUUGUUCGGAUUCAUUGGGCGUAAAGGGUGCGUAGGCGGCGCGGUAAGUCGGGUGUGAAAUCUCGGGGCUUAACUCCGAAACUGCAUUCGAUACUGCCGUGCUUGAGGACUGGAGAGGAGACUGGAAUUUACGGUGUAGCGGUGAAAUGCGUAGAUAUCGAGAGGAACACCUGCGGCGAAGGCGGGUUGCUGGGCUGACACUGACGCUGAAACGCGAAAGCUAGGGGAGCGAACGGG
rnacentral:rRNA from 1 species